CUGAGGCACAUCGGGUUAUGUUCUAAUAGGGAAACUACGUUUUUAAGAAUAAGAAAAACUUGAAGCAUUUGUGCAAAAAUGUCACAUGAAGGGAUUGGUAGUGUAAAUCAGCUUGGCGGGGUGUUUGUAAAUGGUCGACCUCUUCCCACUUGUAAAAGAAAAAAAAUCAUCCAGUUGGCAGCAGGAGGAAUGAGACCCUGUGAAAUCUCUAGGAUUUUACAGGUGUCCAAUGGCUGUGUCAGUAAGAUAUUGUGCAGGUACCAUCAAACUGGUCUUUUAUGCCCAAAGGCAAUUGGAGGCAGUAAACCCCGCCUCCUAACUCAUGAGGUCAUUGCUAAAAUUGGCCAGUAUAAGAG